AACGGCCGUACCAUGCUGAAUAUAUCGGUUCUCGUUAGAUCACCGAAGUCAAGCAUCAUUGAGCGCGGUCAGUACUUGGGUGGGUGACCACCUGGGAACACUGCGUGCCGU
rnacentral:rRNA from 1 species